GUGCUCACUUUGGCAGCAUAUUUACUAAAAUUGGAAUGAUGCAGAGAAGACUAGCAUUGCCCCUGAACAAGUGUAUUGUGCACAUUUGUGAAGCAUUCUAUAUUUUU
ensembl:snRNA U6 U6 spliceosomal RNA